CCCUCCUCCCCUCUAGAACCCUCAGUUUGUUUUUCAGAGUCCAUCGUCUCUCAUGAUUCUCCAGCCUCCCCCUACUAAUACCAAUGUCAACAGUAACAAUACAUCUGCGAGAAAGGUGACUGGCAGGCAGUGAUGACACCAGACAUUUCAACCUACAUUUACUAGACUCUGGGAUGGACUAAUGAUUUGAUAGCAUCAGUUGUGGGAUCCAGUGCAUAAAUCAGAGAACCAGGAAGCCACAGCAAGUUGCAGAAAUGUACCAAGUCCACACAGUUUCCUCUCUAUCUUUAGAACCACCAUGAUGAUGGUUCUUCCAAUUGUGUGAAUCAGGGAUUAUACUGGUUCAAGACCCAGAUCAAUACAAAAUGCAUCUGAUUUCAACACUACUGAAAACCAGGUUGGGCUAAAAGAGCAGAGAGAAAAUAAAAAUCAAUUUUUG